AUUUCUUUAUUCCUUUAUUAGAGGAAAGCCCCCUAUUAUGAGAUAGGCGCCUAAUAUGAGAUACCGGCGUUUCUGCUAAAUUAAUAAACGCUAUGUAUUGGUUCCACCAUGAAUUUAUUGCUCUUGGAUUGAAAACUAUUUAGUGGAAAAUUCAUUAUUAGAUCAUGCCUGUAGUCCUUGUAAAAAAAGA